rnacentral:rRNA from 1 species
AGUGAACGCUGGCGGCAGGCCUAAUACAUGCAAGUCGAACGGCAGCACAGCAGAGCUUGCUCUGUGGGUGGCGAGUGGCGGACGGGUGAGGAAUACAUGGGAAUCUGCCCAGUCGUGGGGGAUAACGUAUGGAAACGUACGCUAAUACCGCAUGCGCCCUACGGGGGAAAGUCGGGGACCGCAAGGCCUGGCGCGAUUGGAUGAGCCCAUGUUCGAUUAGCUAGUUGGCGGGGUAAAGGCCCACCAAGGCGACGAUCGAUAGCUGGUCUGAGAGGAUGAUCAGCCACACUGGAACUGAGACACGGUCCAGACUCCUACGGGAGGCAGCAGUAGGGAAUAUUGGACAAUGGGCGAAAGCCUGACGGAGCAAUGCCGCGUGUGGGAUGAAGCGCCUUCGGCGUGUAAACCACUGUCAGGGAACGGAACCAAUGAUUGUUCCCAAGGAAGUGGCGGACUAACUCUGUGCCAGCAGCCGC